GAUGAACGCUGGCGGCGUGCCUAAUACAUGCAAGUCGAGCGAACAGACGAGGAUCUUGCUCCUCUGACGUUAGCGGCGGACGGGUGAUUAACACGUGGAUAACCUACCUAUAAGACUGGGAUAACUUCGGGAGACCGGAGCUAGUACCGGAUAAUAUAGUGAACCGCAUGGUUCAAUAGUGAAAGCCGGUUUUGCUGUCACUUAUUGGUGGUUCCGCGGCGCAUUAGCUAGUUGGUAGGGUAACGGCUUACCAAGGCAACGAUGCGUAGCCGACCUGAGAGGGUGAUCAGCCACACUGGAACUGAGACACGGCCCAGACUCCUACGGGAGGCAGCAGUAGGGAAUCUUCCGCAAUGGGCGAAAGCCUGACGGAGCAACGCCGCGUGAGUGAUGAAGGUCUUCGGAUCGUAAAACUCUGUUAUUAGGGAAGAACAAAUGUGUAAGUAACUAUGCACGUCUUGACGGUACCUAAUCAGAAAGCCACGGCUAACUACGUG
rnacentral:rRNA from 1 species